CUGUAGAGAGAGAGGCUGUGCUGUAGAGAGAGAGGCUGUGCUGUAGAGAGAGAGGCUGUGCUGUAGAGAGAGAGGCUGUGCUGUAGAGAGAGGCUGCGCUGUAGAGAGAGGCUGCGCUGUAGAGAGAGAGGCUGCGCUGUAGAGAGAGGCUGCGCUGUAGAGAGAGGCUGCGCUGUAGAGAGAGGCUGCGCUAGAGAGAGAGGCUGCGCUGUAGAGAGAGAGGCUGCGCUGUAGAGAGAGAGGCUGCGCUGUAGAGAGAGAGGCUGCGCUAUAGAGAGAGAGGCUGCGCCGUAGAGAGAGAGGCUGAGCUGUAGAGAGAGAGGCUGAGCUGUAGAGAGAUAUGAGCACCACAGAGCUCCUCUAUUUACAGGACCACUCUGGCAACACAACAGCGUGUGAAGUGCACUCUUGGAAGAGCUUGCUCCUUGCUGACAUAGUGGAUAAUGCUAGACAAGCAGUGUGGAUGAUUUUAUAAGAAUUUGAGGUGUGUGAGUCAGGCUGUUUAGUGAGUAGACUCAUCGUUGCAGGCUCUCUUGUCUCCCUGUCCAGUGUUGCCCUCUGACAGCCUCCCUUUGCACAGCCACUGUUCCAUACAUAUCAUAGUAUUGAUGUUACUAUCAGCUCAGAAACCUUUGAAACCAGCCCUGUAGAUGAAUGAUGCUCAUCUCACAGAAUGCCGUAUGUUAGAGAUUAUUUUUGUAUGUUCGGUUCUUUAACGUAGAAGAAGCAGAAGAGGGAGAAUAAAAGUGUCUUUUUAUUUUCAUUUUCA
ensembl:lncRNA